rnacentral:rRNA from 1 species
CGUGAGGUGGAGCAAAACUCAAAAACUUAGUCUCAGUUCGGAUUGUAGGCUGAAACUCGCCUACAUGAAGCUGGAGUUGCUAGUAAUCGCGAAUCAGCAUGUCGCGGUGAAUACGUUCCCGGGUCUUGUACACACCGCCCGUCACACCAUGGGAGCCGGAAAUGCCCGAAGUCUGUGACCCAACCUACGGGAGGGAGCAGCCGAAGGCAGGUCGGAUGACUGGGGUGAAGUCGUAACAAGGUACC